rnacentral:pre_miRNA from 1 species
UAAUAAUAAUAAUGAUGAUGAUGAUGAUGAUGAUGAUGAUGAUAAUAAUAAUCAUCAUACUCAUCAUCAUCAUCAUCAUCAUCAUCAUCAUCAUCA